rnacentral:rRNA from 1 species
UACGAGAGGCCCAAACGUUAUUCGGAUUUACUGGGCUUAAAGAGUUCGUAGGCGGCGCAGCAAGUAGGGUGUGAAAGCCCUCGGCUCAACCGAGGAAUUGCGCCCUAAACUACUGUGCUUGAGGGACCUAGAGGUGAGCAGAACUGAUGGUGGAGCGGUGAAAUGCGUUGAUAUCAUCAGGAAUACCGGAGGCGAAGGCGGCUCACUGGGGGUCUUCUGACGCUGAGGAACGAAAGCCAGGGGAGCGAACGGG